UCCCUGGUGGCUCAGAGGUUAAAGCGUCUGCCUCCAAUGCAGGAGACCCAGGUUCAAUCCCUGGGUCGGGAA
rfam:Ovis aries breed Texel chromosome 9, whole genome shotgun sequence.